ACGGGUGUAGCUCAAUUGGUAGAGUAGCGGUCUCCAAAACCGUUGGUUGUGGGUUCGACUCCUACCACCCGUGCAA
rnacentral:tRNA from 1 species